UGUGUGUGUGUGUGUGUGUGUGUGUGUGUGUGUGUGUGUGUGUGUGUGUGUGUCCUGUCCUGUCCUGUCCCUGCUGGGGAUCUGCUGAUGUUUUCUUCAGCAGGAUUGUGAGCCAUUUCCAUGUAUUAGUCGGAAGUGAGCGAGUAGGCAUUAGUGAUUAGCCCACGACAAGCAGAGGUCUUGGAAAGGUCACCCUCUGACUCCAUCGGAGGAGAGAUGUUUGUCUCUGACUGAUUCUUUCCAUAGGGGAGAGGAGAUGUUCAUCUCAGACUGACUGACCUGUGCCGAGGUUCUCUGAGCUCUUCUUGUUUGACCAGAGGUGCUCCUCCCCAACUGAUCAUCUCCAUGCAAGCAGACACUCCCAUCUGGCUGAUGAUUUCGUGCAGGCGAGUGAUCCUAUGACGGAUCCACUCCGGCUGAUCCGUACGAGUACAGACGUCCUCUGACUGAUCCGUACGAGUAGAGAUGUCCUCUGACUGAUCCGUACGAGUAGAGAUGUCCUCUGACUGAUCCGUACGAGUAGAGAUGUCCUCUCUGAUCCGUACGAGUAGAGAUGUCCUCUCUGAUCCGUACGAGUAGAGAUGUCCUCUCUGAUCCGUACGAGUAGAGAUGUCCUCUGACUGAUCCGUACGAGUAGAGAUGUCCUCUGACUGAUCCGUACGAGUAGAGAUGUCCUCUCUGAUCCGUACGAGUAGAGAUGUCCUCUAACUGAUCCGUACGAGUAGAGAUGUCCUCUCUGAUCCGUACGAGUAGAGAUGUCCUCUAACUGAUCCGUACGAGUAGAGAUGUCCUCUCUGAUCCGUACGAGUAGAGAUGUCCUCUCUGAUCCGUACGAGUACAGAUGUCCUCCGACUCCUCUGCAUUCUCUGGCUCUGAGUCUUCCUCACUGUUUGUCUUAUGAGUGAAGGGUCCAGGCAGGACGUGAUCAGAGGCUUUUCCAAAGCUGGUCCCGCAUUCAGUCACACUCGAAGACACGGUUCUGGUCCCGCAUCCAAUCACACUCGAAGACACGGUUCUGGUCGUGCAUCCAAUCACACUCGAAGACACGGUUCUAGUCCUGCAUCCAAUCACACUCGAAGACACGGUUCUGGUCCUGCAUUCAGUCGCACUCGAAGACACGGUUCUGCUCCUGCAUCCAAUCACACUCGAAGACACGGUUCUGGUCCCGCAUCCAAUCGCACUCGAAGACACGGUUCCAGACUUGAAUUCACUGCCAGGCACGCCGAGGCAAUCUUACUCUUCACUUCGAUGCACUUAUACCUUCAUUCCUGCCCGGACACUCCGUGUGCUCUCUGUAGACAUGUGAGCGCUGAGGGGGGACACCUGAUGGUGCCGGUGUCAGAGCUGAUGUCUCUAUGCAGGGGGAAAGGGGAACACUGGGGUCCUUACCUGUGGAGCAUUAAAGUGCUCACAUUACAUGCAGCAGAGGUGUGUGUGUCUGUCUGUCUGUCUGAGAGCAUGUGUGUGUCGUGUGUAGAGGUGUCUGUUAUGUGGCUGAAACAGGGCCAUGUUGGAUGACUGCGGUGUUUGGAUUCAAGAGUGAAACUGUAUGUUUGGCCACUGCUCAUGACGGAGGGCUUUGUGCGGGGGGAACAUGAAUCAUUCAGACCUAUGUAACAAUGAAAGACUUCAAACCAAAUAAACUUCAUCAAUCAACUAUCUGUGCAAGUUGCAUGUGUUCAUGAUGUGUGGAUUAUUGUCUGGAAAUGUGGAGAGAAAA
ensembl:lncRNA